UCCCUCUUAGCUCAGUUGGUAGAGCAAUUGACUGUUAAUCAAUUUGUCGCUGGUUCGAGCCCAGCAGAGGGAGCCA
rnacentral:tRNA from 1 species